rnacentral:rRNA from 1 species
UACGUAGGGGACUAGCGUUGUUCGGAAUCACUGGGCGUAAAGCGCACGUAGGCGGAUGUGUCAGUCAGGGGUGAAAUCCCGGGGCUCAACCUCGGAACUGCCUUUGAUACAGCACGUCUCGAGUCCGGAAGAGGUGGGUGGAAUUCCUAGUGUAGAGGUGAAAUUCGUAGAUAUUAGGAAGAACACCGGUGGCGAAGGCGGCCCACUGGUCCGGUACUGACGCUGAGGUGCGAAAGCGUGGGGAGCAAACAGG